rnacentral:hammerhead_ribozyme from 1 species
AUCCAGCUGAUGAAUCCCGAAUAGGACGAAACGCGUGUCUUGGAU